UGCAGUUGGCCGUCUUACCCUCUUGAAUGAGACCUACUACCGGGAUAUCCUCUGUGAGAUGGGUGGCAUGUUUUCAAUUGCAAACCAUUUAGAUAAUAUUCAUAGACGACCCUGGAUUGGAUUCCAGUCAUGGCGAGCUACUGGAAGAAAAGUUUCCUUAUCUAAAAAUGCUGAGCUGGCCCUAGAAGAAACAAUACAGGCAAAGGUUAAAGGUGAUGUAAUAUACUAUUGGGCACAUUUGCAUGUGGAUGGUGG
rnacentral:misc_RNA from 1 species